AUGAGAUGCAGGCUUGCAGCUGGUGACCUACUUCCUAUAAUAGAUUUCUGGGAACAAAACAAGGAAAAUUCUCCAGGGAACCUCAACAGGCCAGAAUGCAGGCCACUUCAAUCAAGGGUCUGGUUCUUGUAUUUGACCAGGUUUGGUAAGGAACUGAGGUGUGAUUGGAGGAAUCAUAUUAACCAUGGAGGUGGUAAAUUUCACUGUAUUAAACAAGAUAAACAAAAAAGAGCUACCAAAUUCCACAUUGAUCGGACACUUCCAAUGAUGGGGCCCUGCAUAUACAAUCACAACAUGCCAUGUUGCAACACUCAUCAUCCUUCCAUCUGA
rnacentral:rRNA from 1 species